rnacentral:rRNA from 1 species
UGGCGACCGGCGCACGGGUGCGUAACGCGUAUGCAACCUACCUUUAACAGGGGGAUAACACUGAGAAAUUGGUACUAAUACCCCAUAAUAUCAUAGAAGGCAUCUUUUAUGGUUGAAAAUUCCGAUGGUUAGAGAUGGGCAUGCGUUGUAUUAGCUAGUUGGUGGGGUAACGGCCCACCUAGUCAACGAUGGAUAGGGGUUCUGAGAGGAAGGUCCCCCACAUUGGAACUGAGACACGGUCCAA